AUUGAACGCUGGCGGCAGGCCUAACACAUGCAAGUCGAACGGUAACAGAAAGCAGCUUGCUGCUUUGCUGACGAGUGGCGGACGGGUGAGUAAUGUCUGGGAAACUGCCUGAUGGAGGGGGAUAACUACUGGAAACGGUAGCUAAUACCGCAUAACGUCGCAAGACCAAAGAGGGGGACCUUCGGGCCUCUUGCUAUCGGAUGUGCCCAGAUGGGAUUAGCUAGUAGGUGGGGUAACGGCUCACCUAGGCGACGAUCCCUAGCUGGUCUGAGAGGAUGACCAGCCACACUGGAACUGAGACACGGUCCAGACUCCUACGGGAGGCAGCAGUGGGGAAUAUUGCACAAUGGGCGCAAGCCUGAUGCAGCCAUGCCGCGUGUAUGAAGAAGGCCUUCGGGUUGUAAAGUACUUUCAGCGGGGAGGAAGGGAGUAAAGUUAAUACCUUUGCUCAUUGACGUUACCCGCAGAAGAAGCACCGGCUAACUCCGUG
rnacentral:rRNA from 1 species